UGAAGGUAAAUUUUUGUUUGAG
rnacentral:siRNA from 1 species